GACGAACGCUGGCGGCGUGCCUAAUACAUGCAAGUUGAGCGCUGAAGGUUGGUACUUGUACCGACUGGAUGAGCAGCGAACGGGUGAGUAACGCGUGGGGAAUCUGCCUUUGAGCGGGGGACAACAUUUGGAAACGAAUGCUAAUACCGCAUAAAAACUUUAAACACAAGUUUUAAGUUUGAAAGAUGCAAUUGCAUCACUCAAAGAUGAUCCCGCGUUGUAUUAGCUAGUUGGUGAGGUAAAGGCUCACCAAGGCGAUGAUACAUAGCCGACCUGAGAGGGUGAUCGGCCACAUUGGGACUGAGACACGGCCCAAACUCCUACGGGAGGCAGCAGUAGGGAAUCUUCGGCAAUGGACGAAAGUCUGACCGAGCAACGCCGCGUGAGUGAAGAAGGUUUUCGGAUCGUAAAAAUCUGUUGGUAGAGAAGAACGUUGGUGAGAGUGGAAAGCUCAUCAAGUGACGGUAACUACACAGAAAGGGACGGCUAACUACGUG
rnacentral:rRNA from 1 species